AUGCCUGGCUGUCCCAUGCCUGCUGAGAGAACACCUGCUACUUCUCAUCACAACCAGAGUCAUCUCUUCUGGGAAAGCACUACUAUAUGUAUGCUUCUUGAAGUCCGAAUGCUCCCUGUCGGCAGUGGUCUUUCCAGCAUUGGUCCCGGUGCCCAGAACAGGGUUCCCACCUUCGUUGACAUCGCCUGGAGGCACCGGGCAGGUAAGCAUCAGGUACUAAUGCACCCUACAGCUCAUAACCACUACAGUCCCCAUCGUACAAUGUCAUGGGACCCCACCUACAAAGAUCAUAUUGUGAACAGCACCCCCUGUGGUUGUGCACACACAGGCCUCCUGGAGGACCGGUCCUCAUGGAUUUCUUGUUUCUUGUCCAUACCUUCAUCAUCCUGUACAUCAUGGACACCACAUAGUGUUGUCUGUAUGGAAAGAUUUAAGACUUGGGGGAGGGGAGGUGAAAGAGAGGAAACACAUUUUCUUGUGUAAUGUAAAUACUGAACUUGCCUUCUGUGUGUUUCUUCUUUGAAGUCUAGGUUUUCCACCUUUCUCUAAGGCUGGGCCUAAUUAUUACUACGAACAGCAGCUGUGAUGUUAUUAACGAAGAAGGCAUGCAGUUUUAGCACUCAAGAGUCCUGGCUUCUCUUCAAAUGAGAGCUGGGGGCCUCUGUUCUCUCUGCAACGCAGCCUUCCAGGCCACCGCUGUUGCUUAAGGCUGUGCUGCAAUCGGAGCACUCAGGAGUGGGAAGUCCAGAGUUCUCCCCACUUCUGGGAACAGCCCCCCACCCCCCUCCCUGCGCCAGCUUCCACAGGCAGCCCUCAUGACAGUGGGUCAGGCUAACCCAGGGUUUCACAAAUGCCUGGCCUGUUCCCAGCACAGCACAGCUGGGAGGGCUCAGCACUGGGGGGAAGGCGCACCGUGCCCCUCCCCCCGACCCGCCACCAUCCUCGGCCUGAGGCCCAGGGGCUGGAGCCCAGCAGAGGGACGGGCUGCACUUGCCGGCACUUGCCUCCUCUCCAGCGGGUGGUGAACCUGGGCCUCCCCUCCCUGCUGAUUUCCCAGCUCCGGCUUAGCCAAGGUUCCAGGAGGAAAUCCCCUGUCCCAGGAAGUGAGGAGGCCCGAGGCUUGUCUUCCCCGAAGGCAGCGAGUGGUCUCAGAGUCACCUGAGGUGGUGUUGAGUAUUGAGCUUGCUGACUCUCCUUGGGGCUUCUGAUUCAGAAAAGCUGGGCUUGGAGUCCGGGAAUCAGCAAUUUCAUCCACUCCCUGGGGGACAGCUGCAGGUUUUUUGAGCCUUGGGAAGGGGGGCAGCCCUGGGUGGUGAAAGGGUUGGGGCAAAAGAGCCCUGGAUUCUCAGGUAGGACCUCCAACCCUCUCUAAUGAUCCCCACCACCCUGAAAGAACUGUCCUUGUAAUCCAAGCCUCAGUUUUUCUAUCACUGACAUGAUUGUGUGACCUGAGGGAAGGGUGUUCAAAUGUCCUGGACACUCAGAGCUACUAACCCAGGACAAGCUAGUCACCGUGCCUAAGGAUAGACAGGAUUGUGGAUGUCUGAGGUACUGGAAAUGAGGCUUAAAGAUGAGUCUACGGGGCGCAGAUAGCAGUCUAUUCAUUUUAUUUACAUUGUAACUGGUGUCUGUCACUCCCACGAGAUCUCUGGAGAGCGGGAGCAGGGCUUUGUCUUGUUCACGCUCGAUCCUAUUAACACACAGGAUGUGUUAAUAGGUACUUGCUGAGUGAAUGAAUGAGUGACUGACUGACUGACUGGCAGGGGCUGUGAGCCUGUUUGGGGGAGGCCGAGGCGCUGCCGGCCUGGAGGGGGAAUCUCGGCUCCCCCGGGAAAACUUGAUCCACUCAGGGCUGGCAAAAAGUCAGGGCGUCCUGAGUAGCCUCCCCUCGGAGGGGUCAGUGACUCCCCAGUGACGAAGGACUCCCUCCCUCUCUCUCUCCCUCCCUCCCUUCCCCCAGGAGCCCCGGGCUCGCCGGUCCACUCUUCCCUCCCCCCCCCCCCCCCCCCCCCGUGCGCCUGGCAGCCUCCCGGCCGAAUUUCCUGGCACUCGUUUGAGAAUAAACAGCACUCUGCGCCUGUAAUCCCGUUGCUAUGGUGACCGCUCCGCCGGCGGCGGGGGGGGGGGGGGGGGGGGG
rnacentral:lncRNA from 1 species